rnacentral:rRNA from 1 species
CCCUUAGAUGUUCGGGGUCGCACGCGCGCUACACUGAAGGAAUCAGCACGUCUUUCUCCUUGUCCGAAAGGACUGGGUAACCCGCUGAACCUCCUUCGUGCUAGGGAUUGGGGCUUGUAAUUCUUCCCCAUGAACGAGGAAUUCCCAGUAAGCGCGAGUCAUAAGCUCGCGUUGAUUACGUCCCUGCCCUUUGUACACACCGCCCGUCGCUACUACCGAUUGGAUGGUUUAGUGAGAUCCUCGGAUUGGUCCCGGAGCGGCCUCUGGUCGUGCCGGAGUGCCGAAAAGAAUGUCGAACUUGAUCAUCUAGAGGAAGUAAAAGUCGUAACA